rnacentral:tRNA from 2 species
GGGCCUGUGGCGGAACUGGCAGACGCGGCGGACUUAAAAUCCGCUCCCUCAUUUGAGGGGUGUGGGUUCGAAUCCCACUGGGCCCA